rnacentral:rRNA from 1 species
AUUGAACGCUGGCGGCAGGCCUAACACAUGCAAGUCGAACGAGUGGCGGACGGGUGAGUAAUGUCUGGGAAACUGCCUGAUGGAGGGGGAUAACUACGGAACACGGUAGCUAAUACCGCCUACAAUCAACAGUGCCCAGAUGGGAUUAGCUAGUUGGUGGGUUAACGGCUGACCAAGGCGACGAUCCCUAGCUGGUCUGAGAGGAUGACCAGCCAAACUGGAACUGAGACACGGUCCAGACUCCUACGGGAGGCAGCAGUGGGGAAUAUUGCACAAUGGGCGCAAGCCUGAUGCAGCCAGGCCGCGUGUAUGAAGAAGGCCUUCGGGUUGUAAAGUACUUUCAGCGGGGAGGCGUUACCCGCAGAAGAAGCACCGGCUAACUCCGUGCCAGCAGCCGCGGUAAUUC